rnacentral:rRNA from 1 species
ACACGACUACAUUAGAUACCCGCGUAGUCCCAGCCGUAAACUAUGCGCGUUAGGUGUACUGGUGACCACGAGUCACCGGGGUGCCGAAGGGAAACCGUGAAACGUGCCGCCUGGGAAGUACGGUCGCAAGGCUGAAACUUAAAGGAAUUGGCGGGGGAGCACCGACAACGGGUGGAGCCUGCGGUUUAAUUGGACUCAACGCCGGAAAUCUCACCGGAUAGGACAGACAUAUGAUAGUCGGGCUGAAGACUCUACUUGAUGAUUCUG